AAACAGAUUAGAAAAAAACUAUUCAUUAACAAACCCAAAAUACGAAGCAACCACUCAUGAUAAUCUAAUGUCAUCUCAAAUUCAGUACAUCCAUGAAUUUGAAACUAACAAUCCUACAAAGUACAAUGCAGCGAACAACAAUGAGACAAAGGUAGAAACUAAAAUUGCCCAAAUAGGUGAGCAGAGAGAAUUUUUUUUUUUUUUUUUUUCAAAUGCAAAAGGAAAAAGGUUUAAUUGAACAGCUUAAACAACUCCCCAUUCCCAACAGAUGCAACUAAAGGUACAUGAUAUAAUCUUCAAUACUACGCAAAACAAUGGUGAGAUUCAUACAAUCCAAGCUUCAUGAACAUGAUAUGGAGAUUUUUAGUUUCCAGCUGGUGGUGGUGGGAUUGAGGGAAUUGUAGUCGGGAUAUUGGGGAUUGAGGGGAUGCUUGGCAUUGGAGGCAGGGUGACCUUUGGGACAGCAGGCAUGGUGGGCAAGCUAGGAAGUGGAGGCAAAGUGGGGUUGGGCAGGGAAGGUUGGGUGGUUGGCAAGGUUGGUAAUGACGGCUGUGGGAGAAUCGGAAUAGAAGGGAUUGGUGGCACUGCAAGCUUUGGCAAAUUUGGCACAGAAGGCAAAGGUGGCAAUUGCAGAAGAUUGCGAGCUGCUAAGCUAACAUCCAUGCUUAAAAGUGACAAAGAGACAAAGAAAGCAAGGAUGAAGCAGUUGAAAGAGGCCAUGGUUAAGAAGAUGUUGCUGUAGUACAAAAGGUAUGUAAUUUGUUGUGGGUUUGGAUGAGAAACAAGCUGCCUAUGAGUGGGCUUAUAUAGCUGAAGAAUUAUUCAGGAUUAUCAUCAAUGGAGGUGAUAUGGCAAGGACCAUGACUAGCUGGGUAGUUCACCAUCUCAUGAAUGUUCUACUGAUAGGUUGACAAGGUCAGUUGUGGGAUAAAUAGAUAUUAUUGUAACCGUUGAAGUUGUAUCAUGAUCAAGAAAAGCAUCUAAGGUUGUUGAUACCUUUGUGAUCUAAUUGGUGGGUUAUCUAACGAGAGUUUAGAGAGUUGAAGCAACAACUUAUAUUCAGUGCACAUUCUUUCAAACAGAAUCCUGUUGCAAAAUUGUACUAAAUGAGAGAUAUUGAUGGAGUUAAACAACCAAAUGCACAUUACACAUAAAGGAAUUCCAAGAGGAUGAUUAGAUUGACAUAGAAGCUAUCUGAUGAUUUAGUUUGGUGGCAUGGUUGCUCCAUUUCUCUAUCUGCAUACUUUGACUUUCUUCCAUUUGAAAAAUGUUCUGAUUUCAACGUCUGGCCAGCUAAAACAACAUUUGCCAACUUUUAAGUGGAAGUUUAAGCUAAACAAAGAGACUAACUUGAAGAGUUUCACAGUUUUCCACAACUACAUCACCUACCAAACCCUACAGCUCAUGAGCUUGCUAUAUAAUCCCAAAACCUGACUUUGCUUUCCUCAUUCUAAAACAUAACAAUAAUCUUUUAUUUCCUUUAAGAUCAAUAUAUAAAAAAAAUGGCCUCUUUCAAGUGCUUGAUCUUUGCUGCAUUGUUCAUUGCUUUGUUAUUUGAUGUUGGGUUAGGUGCUCGUCAUCUUCAGCAACUGCCACCUUUACCAAAGCCUACAUUCCCACCAUUGCCUAGUAUCCCAACUCUCCCACAGCCCACAUUGCCAACAAACCCAUCUCUGCCUCCACUUCCAAGCUUGCCUACUCUUCCUAAGGUUGCUUUGCCUCCAUUGCCCAGCUUCCCCACUAUUCCAACUACAAUUCCUUCAAUCCCAUUCCUCUCUCCACCACCUGGUAACUAAAUCAUUUAUCUUUUCUUUGGACGUUCAGUUCAAUUUGUGGGGAGGAGAUUGGAAACUUGGAUAAUAUAUUUAUUUAUGUAUAUUGGGAAGAGUGUUACUACUUCCCUUUCUCACUUUUCUUUGUGGCUCGUAAAGUCUCUCAUUGCUUGUUCUUUAACUAUUUUUGUGUUUGAGUAUUAUGGAAAUUUUUUACACACAUCUCCUGUUGGUUCACCUAGUAUAUACUUAUAUAUUGCUGCUUAUUAUUAUAUAGGAGUUGUAAUACAGUAUGGAUUUUCAUGAUUAUUACUCUUAAAUUAUUACUACGACCACAGUUUUAUUCUACAGUAAUUUUUAAAGUAGUGUUCGAUAUUAUUUAAAAAAUUAUUUUUUAUAAUAUUUCAUUAAAUACUGUCCACUACUAUAACAGCUAACCGUUUUUAUUAUUUAUAGCUGCUUAUUAUUACAUCACCUAAAAUUCUUUUUUCUUAAUAAAUUACUGGUGGUUUAUUAUUUCUUGGUAAUUUUUUUAUCCAUUAAUAAAAUAUUGGUGUAGAGUAAUUUUUGAGGGGUAAAAUAUUCAUAUAUCUAAGAAAUCAAAAUUUCAUUCAAACUAUACCAAAUUUGCAUGUCACUAGUUCGUAAAAACAUAAACUGAUAUUAAAAACAUGGAAGAAAAGGAUUAAUUAAAUAUUAAAAUUUACAAGAAUAAAAGCAUAUAUGAUUAGAAAAAAUAAAACAAAAAUCUAAUAAAAAUCAGUAUCAGAAAAAUAACAACAAUAUUGAUUAGGCUGUGGGGUUUACUAAAUUUAUUUUCUAAAAUGUGUUGCAUUGGAAUUUAUUUAGUAAAAGGUGGCGUGUUUUAAUUGGCCGGGAUUCAAAAUCACGUCUAGCUAUUUUUUUAUUAAAAAAAUUUUAGUCACAACUCUAAAUGGUGAUUGGACUGUUAUAUCAUAACUGAUUUUGAAAUAUAUAUGUGCAUUUCAACUCAAUAACUUUUAAUAAAUAAAUUUCAACCAAACAUUUUUUAGUAAAUAAAUUUCAACCAAAGGGAUGGAACACAUUUUAUUUAUUUAUUUUUAUUGCACUAAACUAUAAAAAUAUUACAUUAUUAUUUUUAAAAAAAAUUACAUUAUUAUAAAUUAAUUUAAAAAAAUAUCUAUCACUCAUUAAAUGGAUAGUUAAGACAUGUUUGAGAACUCCUAGUGAUCAGAAUUUGAUUUUCCUUCCCUUGCAACAGAGUAAAUGCAUUAGAAAUGGAGUGGUUUAGGUAAAUAAUAUGGACACUAUGCCUUCGAAAUUUGUUGCACUUAAAUUUCAUUGUGAAUCCUUAAUCCUUAUACUAUAAUUUUUUUUGUUUUAUAUAAUAAAUUUGUUGAUAUCUGAUAACUUAAUUAUAUUAAUUGUCUUUCUCCAGAUUUUUUAACUUAACAUGCCAAAUUUUAGGAUGAGUUAUUUAAAUUAAUUUAUUGAUUAAAGUUUAUAAUAGAUACAUUCAUGCUAAAAUUUUUUUAGAAUGCUAAGAAAAUAAAAUUUUUGUUUAUGCAUAAAAAAAAGCAGAAUGAAUGCAUGAAUGAUGAAAAUUUUUUUUAUAAUAUAUUGAAGAAAAAGAGUUUUAUUGUAAUAGAGAGGUUGAGGUUAGGGGUGAGCAUUCGGUCGGUUCGGUUCAAAACCGAACUGAACUGAAUAAACCGAAAACCGAAAUUUGAGUGUUUAUGAAAACCGAACCGAACCGAUUUUGGUCAAAAACCGAAUCGAACCGAACCGGUCUGAUUCGGUUCGGUUCAGUUUGAUCGGUUUCGAUUUUUAAUAAUUUUUUUUAUUUUUUACACUUUAUUUUUAAUAUUUUAAAAUUUAAUUAAAAUAUUUUAAUUUUAAUAUGAUUUAAUUUCUAUAUAUUAUUGAAAAAAUAUAUUAUUAUUACUAAUCGGUUCGGUUCGGUUUUUUCGGUUUUUUUCUGAUCAAAACCGAACCGAAUCGAAAUAACCAAAAUUUUUGAAAUUGAAAAUCGAACCGAACCGAAAUAUAUAAAAAACCGAACCAAAUUUUCAAAUCGAUUCGGUUCGGUCGGUUUUUUCGGUUUGAACCGAAUACUGCUCACCCCUAGUUGAGGUAAUACUCGCUCAACUUUUAUUUUUGAGAAGAAUGUGCUUUAUACUAUUACAUCAACCAUUUUGAAAAGAUACACGUCAUAGUAUACUACUAUUGUUACAGUAGAAAAUAUGUGAAUUAGGAGAGAGAGAGAAAAAUUCCCCUGUUAUUUUUGUAUAGCUGGCACAUAGAUGGAAAUAAGCCUUCUAGAAUAUCUGUUGGACUUGAUUUUCUAAAAUAGUCAUCUAACCCGAUCAUUUGAAAUAGUCGUCCGACCUAGUCUACUAGGAUGGUUAUCCCAUCUGAGAAGUCGUCCGACCUGAUCUAUUGGAGCGGUUGUCUGAUUUGAGAAGUCGUUUGACCUGGUCUAUUGGAGUGGUCGUCCAACUUGGCAUGGUCAUUCAUCCUAAAAAAUCAUCCAACUUGAUCUAAUGGAGUGAUCAUCCGAUCUUGAUCUUUCAAAAAAAUCGUCCGAUCAUUGUCCGACUUGCAUCGUUUACUAUCUGUUAAGUACUAUCAUAUAUAAUUAGGAAAACUUAAAAAUUAUUAAUAAAAAUGUAUUUAGAAAUUAUUUUAGAAAAAUAAAUGAUAUUGCAGAGACCGAAAGAUGAUGACGUGGUCGGGGUAGAGCUGAGCUGCGAUGUUGCAAUUAGCUAAACCUAUAAGGAAGAGAAUGUAAGGUGGUGGAUGCUCAUGGCAGCCACUUCUCCGAUACUCAAGUCAGUAAACUAGAGAAGAUGGUGAAUGAAGAAUUUGAAAGUGUUUGUGUGGGAGGAUAGCAUACUUUAAUUUUUGGGAUCGUUCUUUCUAUAUAUACUGUAAGAAUAUGGAGAUAAAUAUAGUAUUUUCUAAUAAUCCAAUGACGAUGUGAGCGGCUCGCUGGUAAGAGAUUUUUACCGGCUAAUUGGUCGGAAAUCCCAUAAUUGCAAGUACAAAGGGAACAUGCUGGAUCAUAGCCAUUAACGGUAACUUUCUCAUGAAAACUCGCUCAGACAUUGAGGGGCGAGUCUGUCCGACUCGAGGCUGCCCUAUCCUGAGACUGAAUAUUUUUUCCUAACUCCGGACAUAAUGGUCGUCCGAGUCUUUUUGAGGGUCAAGCAUCUGAGUAUUUUUGAAGAGCUGAGCAUCCGAGUUUUUUUUUUCUACGGGUGAAACCGUUUAUCAACUUAUCAAACUAUUAUCAUGCGAUCCUAUUUUAUAAUAACAGUUCACGACUUAUUUUAAAAAAUUAUCAUAUAACAUCAAUAAAAUUUAUAUUAUCCAUUUAGAGAUUUACUUGUUGAAAAAUCUUUAUCAAUACUACUGUGCUAUUGAAGUGGCGCUUAUUGUUAUCUAUGUUAAUGAGUAACAAGAUAGAAUUGAAAUUUUAUUUUUUUCAAUAUCCUAUAAAAAAGAAUUGUGCUAUUGUGCACUCUGCUGACUAUUUUCAAUGCGGUCCUUCUCACUCUGUUUUCAUAUAUCUUUAUCCUACUAACAUCUACUGAUCACUUAUUAUAAAAAAAUAUGGUAAAUAAAUUAUAUUAUUUUAUUUUUCUGACAAAAAUUAAAAUUUAACCUGCACAAUGUUUCCAUUUAUUGAAAAUAAAAAAAACUCUAAUACCAUAUUGAAAAAUAAAAAGAAGCUAUAAUACCACCAUUGAAAUAAAAAUAAAAAAUUUGAUAACAACUUUAAUUUAGAGAAAAAAAUAAAUAUUUAAAACUAAAAUUAAAUAUUUAAAAGCAGAAAAUAUAUAUUUAAAAUCAAACAAAAACAAUUCAAACAAUAGAGUAUAGAAAAUAUCAAAUUUGCAGCACCAAAGGCAAAAAAAUCAGAAGCUGAAAUCUUACUUCAAGAAACACAUUAUCAAAGUUUUAAAGUAACUCAAUAAAAGAAAAGAAAAGAUAAAAAAGAAAAUAAUUUUAAAUUUCAUUAAUAAAAACAGAGUAAUGUAAAUUUUUUCUUUUUAAACUUCGAAUAUACUUUUAUAGAAAAUACACACUUCUACCUCUCAUCUUGACGGUUCUUGUAAUAUUAUUAAUACUGUUAAUCACCAGUUCCUAGACCAAUAUGAAAGUCGCAAGAGUUAUUGUAAUAUUAUUAAUACUGUUAAUCACCUUAAUUAUUGAUUUUUUAAAUAACUAACAAUUUCUUUUUCCCACAUAAAUAUUAACAAAUUCAAAGCUUUAUUUUCUUUAUUGAGGAUACUUCUUGGUGUUAUUAUGCGCUUUUUUUUUCUUGUUAAUUUGCAAUAAUAAUAAUUAAUAUUAUUAUAAAAAAUAUAUAUAAUAAAAUUAUAGUUAUAGAAAAUUUAUGAAAAAAAAUAUUGGAUUAUGAUAUUAAAAAAUAUAUAUGUAUAUAAUUAAGAAUUCAGAUUUAGAAUAUCAUAAUAUUAUAUUUUUUCUUUUUAAUUAUUUUAUGAAAUUUAUAUAUUAUAAAUCAAUGGGAAACAGGAGAAAUUAAAUAUUUAGAAAAAAAAAAAAAGAAAAGAAAAGUAAGACAUGCUUAAUUAUAUGUGAAAAAAAAUAGAUAGAAAAAAACUAUUCAUUAACACACACAAAAUAUGAAGCGACAACUCCCCAUUCCCAAGAGAUGCAACUAAAGAUACAUGGACAUGAUCUUCAAUACUACGCAAAACAAUGGUGAGAUUCAUACAAUCCAAGCUUCACGAACAUGAUAUGAAGAUUUUUAGUUUCCAGCUGGUGGUGGGGAAAGGAGUGGGAUUGAGGGAAUUGUAGUCGGGAUAUUGGGGAUUGAGGGGAUGCUUGGCAUUGGAGGCAGGGUGACCUUUGGGAAAGCAGGCAUGGUGGGCAAGCUCGGAAGUGGAGGCAAAGUGGGGUUGGGCAGGGAAGGUUGAGUUGUUGGCAAUGACGGCUGUGGGAGAGUUGGAAUGGCAGGGAUUGGUGGCACUGCAAGCUUUGGCAAAUUUGGCACAGAAGGCAAAGGUGGCAAUUGCAGAAGAUUGCGAGCUGCUAAGCUAACAUCCAUGCUUAAAAGUGACAAAGAGACAAAGAAAGCAAGGAU
rnacentral:lncRNA from 1 species